UGCCGCGUGCAGGAAGACGGCCCUACGGGUUGUAAACUGCUUUUCCGGGGGACGAAUAGGGCCGACGUGUCGGCCGAUGCCGGUACCCCGGGAAUAAGGAUCGGCUAACUCCGUGCCAGCAGCCGCGGUAAUACGGAGGAUCCGAGCGUUAUCCGGAUUUACUGGGUUUAAAGGGUGCGUAGGCGGGCUCCUAAGUCGGCGGUGAAAGUCUGCGGCUCAACCGUAGGAUUGCCGUUGAUACUGGGGGCCUUGGAUACGGUCGAGGCGGGUGGAAUGCGCGGUGUAGCGGUGAAAUGCUUAGAUAUCGCGCAGAACGCCGAUUGCGAAGGCAGCUCGCCAGGCCGUGAUUGACGCUGAGGCACGACAGCGUGGGGAUCGAACAGGAUUAGAUACCCUGGUAGUCCACGCCGUAAACGAUGAUGGCUGGGUGUUGGCGGUACACGGUCAGCGCCUGAGCGAAAGCAUUAAGCCAUCCACCUGGGGAGUACGGCCGCAAGGUUGAAACUCAAAGGAAUUGACGGGGGCCCGCACAAGCGGAGGAACAUGUGGUUUAAUUCGAUGAUACGCGAGGAACCUUACCCGGGCUAGAACGCCGAACGAACGGCCCCGAAAGGGGUCGGCCAGCGAUGGCGGUCGGCGAGGUGCUGCAUGGUUGUCGUCAGCUCGUGCCGUGAGGUGUCGGGUUAAGUCCCAUAACGAGCGCAACCCCUACCGCCAGUUGCCAGCGGGCAAUGCCGGGGACUCUGGCGGAACUGCCGGCGUAAGCCGCGAGGAAGGCGGGGAUGACGUCAAAUCAGCACGGCCCUUACGUCCGGGGCUACACACGUGUUACAAUGGCCGGUACAGAGGGCAGCCACCCCGCGAGGGGGCGCUAAUCUCGAAAGCCGGUCCCAGUUCGGAUCGGGGUCUGCAACCCGACCCCGUGAAGUUGGAUUC
rnacentral:rRNA from 1 species